rnacentral:rRNA from 1 species
UACGUAGGGAGCGAGCGUUGUCCGGAAUUACUGGGUGUAAAGGGAGCGCAGGCGGGACUGCAAGUCAGAUGUGAAAUUUACGGGCUCAACCUGUAACGUGCAUUUGAAACUGUGGUUCUUGAGUGAAGUAGAGGUAAGCGGAAUUCCUGGUGUAGCGGUGAAAUGCGUAGAUAUCAGGAGGAACAUCGGUGGCGAAGGCGGCUUACUGGGCUUUAACUGACGCUGAGGCUCGAAAGCGUGGGGAGCAAAC